CAAACAUUAACACCUUACUAAAACGACCCUAUUAACUGGCAACAACUUGCUAGCUUAAUUUAGUCCUUUAAUGUUGAAGGGUUCGGUUUUCGGCGUUGAGAGAACUCGCAUUCACUACACGCGAUUGGAUCGUACAAUCACCGAAUUUGAUUCAAAUUGGUAAUAAUUCCUCAGCGUACCGGGGCGACGCAAAGACACGAUCGAAAAUAAACUUCAACCCACAAUGAGACCACAACAUGGACCAAGCAACAGCAUACACACAGGACAUCCCAGUUCACAGAAUUACAAUCAACAUAAACUCAACUGGCAGACAAAAUGACUUCAAGUGCAAAAUGGGUUGCUACAAAAGUGACAUUCCAUCAGUACUUUCUCACCAGAGUGUCCUAGUUCCCCAACACCUGAUGCGG